rnacentral:rRNA from 1 species
GAUGAACGCUGGCUGCGUGCCUAAUACAUGCAAGUCGAGCGAACGGACGAGAAGCUUGCUUCUCUGAUGUUAGCGGCGGACGGGUGAGUAACACGUGGAUAACCUACCUAUAAGACUGGGAUAACUUCGGGAAACCGGAGCUAAUACCGGAUAAUAUUUUGAACCGCAUGGUUCAAAAGUAAAAGACGGUCUUGCUGUCACUUAUAGAUGGAUCCGCGCUGCAUUAGCUAGUUGGUAAGGUAACGGCUUACCAAGGCAACGAUGCAUAGCCGACCUGAGAGGGACAUCGGCCACACUGGAACUGAGACACGGUCCAGACUCCUACGGGAGGCAGCAGUAGGGAAUCUUCCGCAAUGGGCGAAAGCCUGACGGAGCAACGCCGCGUGAGUGAUGAAGGUCUUCGGAUCGUAAAGCUCUGUUAUUAGGGAAGAACAUAUGUGUAAGUACCUGUGCACAUCUUGACGGUACCUAAUCAGAAAGCCACGGCUAACUACGUG